rnacentral:rRNA from 1 species
GAUGAACGCUGGCGGCGUGCCUAAUACAUGCAAGUCGAGCGAACGGACGAGAAGCUUGCUUCUCUGAUGUUAGCGGCGGACGGGUGAGUAACACGUGGAUAACCUACCUAUAAGACUGGGAUAACUUCGGGAAACCGGAGCUAAUACCGGAUGAUAUUUUGAACCGCAUGGUUCAAAAGUGAAAGACGGUCUUGCUGUCACUUAUAGAUGGAUCCGCGCUGCAUUAGCUAGUUGGUAAGGUAACGGAUUACCAAGGCAACGAUGCAUAGCCGACCUGAGAGGGUGAUCGGCCACACUGGAACUGAGACACGGUCCAGACUCCUACGGGAGGCAGCAGUAGGGAAUCUUCCGCAAUGGGCGAAAGCCUGACGGAGCAACGCCGCGUGAGUGAUGAAGGUCUUCGGAUCGUAAAACUCUGUUAUUAGGGAAGAACAUAUGUGUAAGUAACUGUGCACAUCUUGACGGUACCCAAUCAGAAAGCCACGGCUAACUACGUG